GCCUCGGUAGCGCAGUAGGCAGCGCGUCAGUUUAAUAAUCUGAAGGUCGUGAGUUCGAUCCUCACUCGGGGCA
rnacentral:tRNA from 1 species